CAGCGGGACACCUCUUCCCAACGAGAGGCGUUUAUCUGUAAGGAUACCAGCA
rfam:Paenirhodobacter enshiensis strain DW2-9 contig3_scaffold1, whole genome shotgun sequence.